UUGGAUUUUGGAGGAAAUUAUUAGUUAAUUUCCUAGGGAUUUUUGAGGUUUUGAUCGGGCAGAACAAUGGCUAGGUUGGGACGAUAAUGGGGUUUUGAUCGGAUGGCAUAAUAGCUUAGGUGGGCUAGUACUUGGAGUUUAGGUUGGGCAGCAUAAUGGCUACGCCGGGAUGAUAUCUAGGAUUUUGAUCGAGCAGCAUAAUGGCUGUGUGAUGGAGUGAAUCAGGAUUCGAGAGCUAGGGAGUGGGUAUUAAGGAGUUUAUGAUGAGUCAAGGACUAGGGUAAAAGAAACUUGCACCACAGUAGUCGUCACCCACGGCUUAACCCUAUGAGGGAUUUUUU
rnacentral:lncRNA from 1 species